rnacentral:rRNA from 1 species
GCACAGCGAAAGGUGCUUGCACCUUUCAAGUGAGUGGCGAACGGGCGAGUAACACGUGGACAACCUGCCUCAAGGCUGGGGAUAACAUUUGGAAACAGAUGCUAAUACCGAAUAAAACUUAGUGUCGCAUGACACAAAGUUAAAAGGCGCUUCGGCGUCACCUAGAGAUGGAUCCGCGGUGCAUUAGUUAGUUGGUGGGGUAAAGGCCUACCAAGACAAUGAUGCAUAGCCGAGUUGAGAGACUGAUCGGCCACAUUGGGACUGAGACACGGCCCAAACUCCUACGGGAGGCUGCAGUAGGGAAUCUUCCACAAUGGGCGAAAGCCUGAUGGAGCAACGCCGCGUGUGUGAUGAAGGCUUUCGGGUCGUAAAGCACUGUUGUAUGGGAAGAACAGCUAGAAUAGGAAAUGAUUUUAGUUUGACGGUACCAUACCAGAAAGGGACGGCUAAAUACGUGCCAGCAGCCGCGGUAAUACGUAUGUCCCGAGCGUUAUCCGGAUUUAUUGGGCGUAAAGCGAGCGCAGACGGUUUAUUAAGUCUGAUGUGAAAGCCCGGAGCUCAACUCCGGAAUGGCAUUGGAAACUGGUUAACUUGAGUGCAGUAGAGGUAAGUGGAACUCCAUGUGUAGCGGUGGAAUGCGUAGAUAUAUGGAAGAACACCAGUGGCGAAGGCGGCUUACUGGACUGCAACUGACGUUGAGGCUCGAAAGUGUGGGUAGCAAACAGGAUUAGAUACCCUGGUAGUCCACACCGUAAACGAUGAACACUAGGUGUUAGGAGGUUUCCGCCUCUUAGUGCCGAAGCUAACGCAUUAAGUGUUCCGCCUGGGGAGUACGACCGCAAGGUUGAAACUCA